GAAUUAUUAUUAUUAUUAUUUUUAACGAGAAGGAACACUUCAGAACAAAUGUGCUUCAAUGCCAUGUUUGGCUGUGUCCACACAGGAGGUUUAUUUUAGCACUCUGGGGCCCAAGUUGUGCUGGCUGGCACAGGGUCACCCCUGAAUGAUGCAAGACACAGGGGUUCCCUCAUCCCCACCCAGUGCAAAGGAAGAGUUGCUAACAACGUCACUUUUAUUGUCACUGUUGCUUCAGCAGCCCGUUGUGUGCUUUUUGGGAUGCUGGGCUGGGUGAUGCUGAGAUGGCUGGUGCCAAGCCAGUGUCUCAGUGCCUCUUUGGCUGGUGUGUGGCCUCUGGUGUGACGAGUGGGUUUUCCCAUUUCUGAAGGGAAACUGGGAGCACUGGGACUGUCUGUGCUAUCUGGGAACAUCAGCCCAGCUCCUCUGCAGUGCUGCUGGGAAUCCACAGGAGGCACCGUGCUCCUAUUGCAGAAAUCUACAGAUAACUGCAGGGCUUUGUCUCUUUGGAAAGAUGGAGAUGUGCUGAGCAUGGCAUGGGAAAAGGAGCUGGUGACUGCAGGGCAGGGCAGCCUCAUCCCCAUCACCAAUCCCUGCUUUCCACGGCCUCUGCAGAGCUCCCUUGAUCCAGAUCAGAGGCACCAUGGGGAAGCAUCAGAUGUAAUCUCCACAUGAGCAAGGAAUAAUGCAGGGUGGGUGCAUGCCCUCAGCAUGCUCCGGUUGGGUACCUGCAGCCCCCAGAGCAGUAAGUGCAAUGACAGGGAAGGGCCACCUCCAUCUCCUUGCUCCAGUCUGAAAUUUCCUGCAGCAAAGUAAACCGUGGCUUCAGUGGAGAUGCUUGCACAGCAGGCAUUCCUCUAAUUGAAAUCCAGUUAUUCCUGGGAAGCACUGCGAGUUGCCUUUGGGAUGUCAGCCUUGGCGUGGGGUGCAUGAAUGGAGCCAUUUAGACACAAACACAGGCCUCCUAAAUACAGCUCCAUCCACCAAGAUUCCUGAUGAAAUGAGCUCAACAAAGCAGCAGAGCACACAGGAGAUCAUGGAAUGACUGCAAAAAAACUGGCCAUGUAUUGGAAUUCUAAUUCAACUUGACAAAGCCAAAAGGCUUUGUCAAUUUGGACAAGGAGGUGUCAAGGAGGAAAAGGGGAGAGGCUGAGGCUGGCUGGUGUGGGGAUGCUGGGGCUGGUGGGUGCUGUUGACCUGCUGCUGGAGCUCAUCCUGCACUUUGCACAAACUCAUUGCACCUUACAUUCGACCUUCCAACACCAAAAGCUGUCUGCCAUCUCCACACCAGAGCUCCCAAAGCAUGCUAACGUGGUGAGCUGGGAUGGGGCUCCCAGGGCAUUCGGCACAGCGCUAACUUCCCGUGGGGCUGUCAUUACAAACCGAUGAGAUAUCAGUGUUAUGUUUUUGUUUAGCUAAAAAAGCCUUCAGAGAGAUGCUGAAUAAGUAUUAAAAGAGCUUUUUUUCUUUUUCUUUCUUUCUUUUUUUUUUUUUUUUUCCCUUUUACUAACACAGAGAAAAUUGAAACCAGCUGGCAGGGCUGGUCGUUCCAGCCAACUGCAGCAGCCCUGGGGAUUCCCCUCAUGAGCUGGUGCUGCAGGGAGGGGAAACUGGGGUAAGCCAGGUGACUGGGGCUGCAUCCUGCCUGCUGGGGGGAAGAGGUUUUGCUUCCUUCUGCCCUCCCAUUAAGCCAUGCAUCACCUACAUAAAGCAGCAUGUGAGGUGAUAUGCCUGCCUGGGGAUGAGUCUCUGCCCAAAUGGGAAAGCUGGAGGAACUGGACCAAGGAAAGGAGGAGAGAUGCUGGACAGAUGCAUUUUGAUGUGUGGAUACUGCUUGCCUUAUGCUGACACUUGCUUUUCCCUCUGUUUGGCAUUGGAUAGCCAAUGACAGAAGUCUAAAAGCAGGCAGGUUAUUCUCCAAAUGCACCACAAAACAACAGCGACAACAACGAGGGAAGAUGUUGGAGCUCUGAUCCUGAAAGAUCUUUCUGAGGUGCUGAGUCCUGCCCAUGGAGAUGCUACAGGAGCUCCUGGGCUGCAUUAGCCAAGGCUGAAGGUCAGCUCAGGAGGAGCUGGGCCAGGUGCAGCUCCUGCAGAUGGGGGCUUGCACAUGCUAGAGCUGUGCAAGUGAACUACAGGGUUUAGGAGUCUGCAAAAGAACUGCAGACAGGGAGAUGCACCCUGACUCAGCAGCUGCGGUCCUGCUCUUCUAGAAACCACAGGUGAGGUCUGCACCCAGCUGUACUGGUUGCUAUAUAUACAAACGUUUGGGUCCUUGGAAAGAGCGUGUCGAUUCUCACCCCAUGUAUGCCAAGGCAUGGAUCUGGUGCAUUGGUCCAAUGGGUUUGCUGCUUCUCUCAGCUGGUACACAGAGCUAGGCAGCAAUAUGAAGCCUGGACCACUUCUGGCCAUUUGGAUAAAAGAAAUCCAAACAAACGAAUUCAUUUUACUGUCCUGGCUGGUUUCCAGCUCACUUAAUUACUUUCUGUCAAUCCACGCUGCAAUCCCGUAUGUUGUUGUUUAUACAUUUUAGUAGCUCAUAUUGCACAUCUUUCAGCAACAACGGCCCAAUGGAUAGCCCAGUUUGCUGAAUUAAUUGUGUUGGUGAAAGGCUCAGGUUAAUGUAUAAAAUGUACUUGGAUCCCUGAAGAAAGGAAACAAAGCAAAUUAUAUGAUUGGGCUGAACUGGGUGAAUCCAGUAUCCCCAAGUGACCGAGAUGUGAUGAAUUUGGGAGCUGCUUCAAAGUAGAAUGCUUUGGCUGGGUUCAGACCCAACUCACCACCGUGGGCUGGCUGAGAAGAGGAAGAUCUCCUGGCUGAGCCUUACAUCCUUCCCAGUUUUCCCAAUGUGUGGGUGAUGAUAACACAUCCUGGGCAUCUUUGUAUGUGUCUGCAUGGCACUGCAGCCUGCAUGCAGGUGGGUCUCACAAUGGAGGUAAUUUAAUACCAAUAACUACAUUGGCAGUGAACAGCUACUCUUGGUAGGCUGAAAGCUGGAAAAAGCUGAUGAGAGUUUGAGGAACUUGUAUUUUCAUGCUAUUUUACUCAAUCUGUUUAAUGCCCAUGUUAAUGCAGCCAGCUGGGUUGUGAGGGAUUGGUGGGCUGGGUAUGCACAGCUGUAGUGCAUCUUCUCGUUGAUUUGAGCUCAUGGGAUUAACAACAUGUAGCACCUCUAGAUAACAGGUGAUAUAUUGGUUUAAGUUCCUGCUAUUCCUGUAAAUCAGGAGCUCUGGUACAGUUGCUGCAGGAGUGAUGCUGAGCUGUGCCAUCCCACAGAGGCCUGAACCCAGUCUGAAACAGGAACGGGGUAGGACUAAAGGGUGAUUUGGGGUUGGAUAGCAUGUCAGGGUUUCUUUUGGGUGAUGAGGAGCUGAAACUUACUUAGAUUUUGCCUUCAAGCUCAGAUCUAGCUGAUGAUAAUUCUAAAUGGUGCUGGGCUGGAGCUCUGUCAGCAAAACCCGUGUGUGCUGUCACCAUGGGCACCUGGACUGCUGCUUGUCUUGUGCUUCUGUUAUUCCUGCUAACUUUUCUAUUGCAAAGCAAGUGCCAUAUUUUGUGCCUGCUGUUAUUCAGAGACAUGAUGCACCUGGGCACGUCUCCCUGCACAGCAAGGGAGGGUGUGUGGGGCUUUGUGCCAGCGUGUGUUGAUUUGCACAGAAGGGCAGUGUGUGUUAAGUUGUGCCAGAUGAAAGCAUUUCUAUUUGGAAAACCUUGAGCUGGUUUAAUUUCACGGGGUUCUGUGCUCUGCUGAACUCAGUUGAUGUGACACGAGCAUGGAACUGAGUGGCUUAAUGAAUCCAGCUUCCACGAGUCAUCACCCUGAGCCUGUGUUUCUGGUUGAGCUCUUGCAUAUGUUGCAUCUUGAUUUCAAGGCUGAGCGAUGCGUGAUAGAUAGUAAACACCCUGAAUGUCCUUGUCAGGUUGGGAAAUUACCCUUGCAUUUAGAACCUGUGCCUUAUUUCUAGUUCUGGCUUGUCUCUGCUUCUGAUCCCAGCUCUGUAAGCUUAUCAUGGCUUUUGCUGCUGUAUUAAGUACUGUAUUAUGUGUUGUCAGGAGAGCACCAGGUGAGAGCAUCCCAGGGACCCCCAGGGUUGGGGAGAGUCUCUAGGAUGGGGAUGCUGUGCUCACUGACGUGUGCAUCACUGGUUGUGCUGUGGAGAGGACCCUGGUGUUUGUUUAGCAAGGAAAUGCUGCAUCCAGAAGGAUGUGGUGCUUGUGUUGAGGUUUCCCAUUAGGAGUGCAGUUCUCCUCUCUGCUGUCUCUAGCCUGCUUUGAUGCACGGUGCUGCCAGCUAAUGAAAUCUGAUUAGCACAAGUGCUUUUUCCUCUCUUCAGCGAUUUGCAGUGUUCUUAAUGUGAUGCCUGCUAAUGACAGGGGAAGAAGCUAAACCAAGUUAUUUUCCCAUUGACUAAAUGGCAGCUCACGUUGCCCCUAAAGGCAGUGAGCAGGGAGGACACCUUUCAGGCUGCUGGAUUGGGCCCAUUCGUUCUGACUGCUCAGACCAGGAGGAAUGGGGGAGAUGAUCUGAUAUCUGGUCUUGGCUUCGGGUCCUGGAGCCUGGGAUGCUGGAGAUUCUUGUUAGCACUCUCUACUUUUGCAGUGCAACUUGCAAGAGAUCUCAGGGUCAUGUCUGUGCAAUCCCCAGCCCGAGUUGCAGAGCUGGUGCAUUCCCCCAGCUGUGUCCCUGUGGUGCUCAGGACCUCUCGCUGCCUUUCUUUGCCUGCAUGCUUGCUGAGGUUCCUAGAGUGGUUGAAGUGAUUGCAGAACGUGUCUAUGCAGCAAAAAGUGUAACAAGCCCCAAGCCUCCUCCUGGGCUCGCAGAGUGCGUCAUCAGUUAUGUCUGCAAAAUGCCUGCAAACGGGGCUGGGAAAUGCAAGUCAGAUCUCCCCUCUGUCGUCAGCAGUGCUCGUUCUGCAUGCAGAGUGCAGAUGUCUAGACAAGGGGAAACGCAGCAGAGGCACUGAGAUGGUGCAAAAAAAAAAAAAAAAAAAAAAAGGCUUUAGCCAAGUCCUAGUGCCUGUCCUUGUGCUCCAGGGGAAAUAGAAUAAGGCAGGUUUUUCCUUAAUAUAUAUAUAUUUUUUUUUCCUUGGGGAUGAAUGCAUGUUUUUCUGCAGGAUUUACUAUGCUGAGUCUCUUACACUGUUUCCACAAGGCUUGUUGAAUACCUCCAUAUUCUCUGGCAAUUCUGCCUUGGCCUCUAUGGAGAGCUGUUCUUUUUCAUGCUGCAAUUUGGUGUAAAAUUUAACUGCGAAUGAGUGCUUUUGUGGAGCAGUCCCACCGUGUGAUCUGCUCACUGUGAUGAUCAUAACUCCAUGCUAAUUACUGACAUCACAGAUAACACUGCUAGGUGCUGAAGCAAUUCUCUUUGUUCCUUUCUCUCCCUGCGUUCCUCUUCCCUUCUGUGCAGCAUCCCUUAUCUGUUUUCUGAUCGUGAAUACCACCCAAGAUUUGCUGCUUUCUUACAGUGCUGUGAACGAAUGCUUUGGGAAGGCAGUCCUGUGUGUUACAUAGCCUACAACAGCCUAUGAUUAAAACUUGUGAUGGUCUCUCAUUGAGACUCGUGCUGAGGGAUCUGCUGCAGGUUCUGGGUUGGCAUUUUCCAUAACUGAUGUUUCACAGGAGGUGGUGAUUUAAUUCUGCUGAAGCCAUAUAUUUUUCUGUAGGUCUCUCAGAACAGUUAAUGAGAUCAGUUAUCCCAAAGAGCCAGGGCUGUAGCAGCUCAGAAUUGUCAAACUGUAAGCAAGCGUAAAAGGCUGAAGAGUGAAGCCUAUGGAAAUGGUGUGGCACCAUGCUGGCCUGUCUACUGAGGGCACUUUCAUUGUGAGAGGGAUUCCCUUUGUGUCAGCUCUGGAGAUGCUCACCCAGCCAAGGAGACCAGAGCCCAGCUCAGCUCAUGGGAGAGGCAGAAGAUGAAAGAUGUGUAACCUUUACAUCCCAGCCUCCCCUAGGGCUCUGUUCACACUCCUCCUCCUGCCUGUUUCUUUGAGCUGAUUUCUGUGAGCUGUAUCUUAAUCAGGAUGUUAAUUUUAACCUUUUCUUGAAGGAUUAUCUUCCACUCUGCUUCGUUCCCAGAAAUGCUGGCUCCCUAUGGGCAUGUCCUCUUACCUCAUGUUCUUCACCUUCAAACUUUCCCAUGUCACAGUGGUCUUCACGGUUUUGCAGUGCUGCUUUUUUCUAAUGGUGCAGACAGAAACCUGGAUACAGGGAGUGAUUCAGCCCUGGUAAAGCUUGUCCUGGCACCAGGCUGAAAGGCUGGGAGUGGUGGCAGGGGUGUCUCAGUGCUUUGUGAAGCCAUGGGGAAGCUAACAGGGCAGGUGGUGAAAGGAAGUUCUGCUUUGCUAGAAACCAAGGCGGUGUCUGUGCUGCUUUCCAGGCACAGCUGCCGUGACUCAUGGGAUUAGAUCACAGAUCUGCCUAAGCAACAGCUUUUGAAGCUCAUCUUCUAAUUUAGAUGAUUCGUUCGUUUCUCGGAGUGUUUUCUGAGAGUCUGCCUCUCUGCUGUUUCUCGGAGAGGUUUUUCAGUGUUGCUGUGAUGUCUUUCUCUCCCAGCCCUGGAGCAGCUGGGUGCAGCCACGAGGACAGGGCUGUGCUGGCAUGGUGAUGCAGGGUGGUGAGGACAGGACCCCAGGGUGAUGCCCGCAUGGAUUGUCUUUGCCUCAAGAAGCGUCUGAGCAAGAGCUGCUGACGGCUUGCAGGCAGAGUUAAUGUUCCCCGUGUGGGCUUUUUGUAGGCAGUAAGACAGAUGUCAGCCUCCUGGAGCCACAGGUGGCUUCUCCUUGAUGAGCAGAAUUGCUCCUGCCACGGAGUGAUGUUGCAGCAUGGCAACAAUGUGGUUCAAAAUAGAAACUUGUCCAAUUGUGCGCACAGAUGGAUGCAGAAAACAAGGGGAAGCGGUGAGGAGCCUGUUAGCUUGGAAAGAGUCUUUGCUUUCUCAGUACCCACUUAAGACUUCUGACAAAUGACAUUCUGAUUCUGAGCUUCAAAGCAAGAGAAGGCUGUGAAAAGCAGAUUGUCUACCAUGGAAAGAAGAAAUGGUUCUAGGUUAGUGAUGCACGUCUGCUCACACUUUUUGCUGUGGGAAAGAUUGCUUUGCACCCCUACCCCCCUCCCAUCCACUGUGGGUGGGUAACCCAUGCCCUUGUGCUGCUUCAACCUGCAUGCUCCUCCCCAUCCCCAUUGCAGCAGUGCUUACUGUUUAAAUGAGGAAAAACCAUCUGCUCGUCAAAUCUCCUGGUGGAAACUGUUCAGAAACGAUGUUAAAAGAAAAAAAUACAGUUCUGUGGUAGCGAUGUUUUCAAAUGGGUGCUUUCCUUUUUUUCCCAUUGACUAUCGCUGUCUUAUUAAGUACCAGUUACUAAUUAGCCUUCAUGUCUCAUUAAAAUCGUAGUGGUUUUUUUUUUUACCUACUGAAAAUUGCAAAUAGCCUUUAUUCUGGUCUUUAAUGCAUGUUGAUUGAAGUAUUUAUUGAAUGCCACUUAUGCAGCUCUGUGGCUGCAUUCAUUUUCUUCUUAAGACAUUUACUAAACCGUUGCUUAGAAUUACUCCAACCCAUCUGGCCUAUUAAGUGUUUGUGCAGAGUGUACCCGAUUUUUCCCAUCCACUUCCUCAAUUAAUACUGAAUAUUCAAGAGAACAAUGUUUUGUUUUUUUUCCUCCCUGCCGUCUGAUCUUUCUGCCACCUAUUGUGGUGUAUUUGGGUAGGGCUGCUGCUCUAGCAAUGGAUCUCAAGGGAUGGAUGUUGGGUUGGAGGUGAGGGCGGUGGACUCAGUUCUGUGCAGUGAUCUCAGCAGGCAGAUGGCCCCGUGAAUGGGCACCUUCAAAGACAAAAUAAGUUAUUCAUGCAUAGUAGGAGAGGAUGUCCUGAAGGCAGGGGAUUGAAAUCCGCCCCACUGGCUGUCAGCUCUGGAAGCGGCCCCAAAUCCUGAGCAGGAGGAGGUUAGAAGGGAUUAGGAAUGAGCUCUGCUGGCAGGGCUUUGUGGGGAAGCACUUGUACAAAACCUGCCGGCAUUAGGCAUGACAGCAACAUGAUUUUACUUCUGUAGUCAUCCGCACAAACAAAAAUGAGAACAGAACAUGUCACUUGCUUUUGGUGAUUAUCCAAAGCAGGCUGAACCUGGUGCCAGCAGCAAAAUCGGGGCUAAGAAUGAAUGUAAAUGGCAGUAAAAUAUUCACAGCGGGGUUGAGGGCAGAAAGUAGCUAUUAGCUCUGAACGAGAUCUGCAGUAAGUCAGGAUCUGCCUUUGUAGCUCUUCCUGUCAUGUAGGAAAAGGUGCUUCCUGGCCCAUCCCAGCUGUAAAUCUGUCUGUUUGGAGGCAGUUUAAGUUUGUCUGGAGCUUUGUUCCUUAGCUGGGAGUGGGACGGGGUCCUCCAGAUGCCCUUUCCUUCUGCAACUCUGCAGACCAGAGGCUGAUGGAACUAUUGGCAGCUUGUCUUAAUGAGAGAACUGCAAGCGUGAAGCAAAAUCAGUGUUUGAGCACUUGGUAGAAACUGUGCAUUUUGCCUGUUUGUAGACAGACCUUAGCAGGAACAGGGAAGAAUCAAACAAACCAGAACAAUUAAAGCAAAUAUUCCAGUACAUCACCAGUGAGUCUGCAACCUGAACCAAAGCACUGCUAAGUGGAUCCUUCAGUCCCAGGACACAUUGGGUGAUGAGCAGCUGGGACAGAAGCGUGCAGAAAUGAAACAAAAGUGGCACAGGAUGGCCAUCAUUCCCAGACCUGUCUCACUGAUGGAUGCAUCCAGAUGAGAUGAAGCCUGUCAGAGCCACCGAAUGGUUUUAAGGCACCGCUCAGCUCAAGCACAGGGAAUAUUUAAGUAUCUUAAAGGCUUGACUUCAGGCAUCUCAAUUUCUGUGUCGUCGUGGCACAUUUAUCUCCUCUUGGGAAAGGAAUGGAGCUGAACUGUCUCGCUCAUCAUUGUGGGGUGUCUGGGGAGAGGAGGGGGUCAGUGGCAGAGCACUGAGCCUUGGGCUCCUGCUGGCUGUGAGCACAUCCUUGUGGACCCCGAGUGCCUGAUGGGAGAAUGAUUUCCUCUUCUCCUCCUUCAGCCAUUUGUCUUUAGUCCUGAACUCCUGAGUGAUCUGUUUAGAUACUUUAUUUUUUUUUUUUUAUGACUUACCCUAAUAGAGCCCAGAGCAUUUUCUUGACUCCUUUGGGAUGCCCACACCCCUGUGGAAGUGGAGGGCAGGUGGAUGUGCUGUAAAGCUGCAUCUCCCAUCUUCCCUGGGACUAUGGGUGGGAAACAACAGGAGGAUCUGCUUUUGUGUGGCUGCUACAGCACUGCCAAUGCAAACCUGGUGUCUUGUUUCUUAUUCCUGUCUGAAUACAGGCUGUUCUGAAGGUGCAAGGAUGCUACAGGAAACAGCAAGGUGGAGAAACAGAAAAAUGCAUUAUUGGCACGAUGACCCUUGGUGGGCUACUGUGAGGAGCCAUGUUGGGACUGAUCAUGGGAUGGGUGAGGAGGUGGCUUUAUACUUAGCAAACUGCAGCUUUGGGGUCCAUGUGAACCUUCAGCUUGUGUUGCAGUGCUGUCAGCCCUCAGUUUCUGCCAUGCAUCCUAUUGGUGGAGGCUUUUCUUAGCUUGUCUCGUCUCAGCUUGAUUGAGGGAAACCAAAGGGAGACAGGGCAUCACAAAGCUGUAUAUGGGUGCCUGCAUGCACUUAUCAGCGUAAACACAGUGUAUGAAAUUUAUAUUGAUCCAAACAAGGCUGCAGAAAUGCAAAUCAGCCGUAUCCUGCUUCAUUACCAUGCUUCAAAACCUGCCCUGCUGCUAUCAGUGGAAGCAGCAUCUCCCCUGGGCUGUGUGCUGCUGCAUCCCUAUGGGCCCCAGGGCUGCUAUGGGGAAAAUCUCAGAUUCUGGCCAAGAUUGUUACUUUACAUUUGUGAUGGAGUUGGGGACUCCAUCUCACUGUGCAUGGGGAAAAUCCUGCCAGGACAGGACCCUGCUCAUGGCUCUGGUGA